rnacentral:rRNA from 1 species
AUGAACGCUAGCUACAGGCUUAACACAUGCAAGUCGAGGGGCAGCAUGGUCUUAGCUUGCUAAGGCCGAUGGCGACCGGCGCACGGGUGAGUAACACGUAUCCAACCUGCCGUCUACUCUUGGACAGCCUUCUGAAAGGAAGAUUAAUACAAGAUGGCAUCAUGAGUCCGCAUGUUCACAUGAUUAAAGGUAUUCCGGUAGACGAUGGGGAUGCGUUCCAUUAGAUAGUAGGCGGGGUAACGGCCCACCUAGUCUUCGAUGGAUAGGGGUUCUGAGAGGAAGGUCCCCCACAUUGGAACUGAGACACGGUCCAAACUCCUACGGGAGGCAGCAGUGAGGAAUAUUGGUCAAUGGGCGAGAGCCUGAACCAGCCAAGUAGCGUGAAGGAUGACUGCCCUAUGGGUUGUAAACUUCUUUUAUAAAGGAAUAAAGUCGGGUAUGGAUACCCGUUUGCAUGUACUUUAUGAAUAAGGAUCGGCUAACUCCGUGCCAGCAGCCGCGGUAAUACGGAGGAUCCGAGCGUUAUCCGGAUUUAUUGGGUUUAAAGGGAGCGUAGAUGGAUGUUUAAGUCAGUUGUGAAAGUUUGCGGCUCAACCGUAAAAUUGCAGUUGAUACUGGAUAUCUUGAGUGCAGUUGAGGCAGGCGGAAUUCGUGGUGUAGCGGUGAAAUGCUUAGAUAUCACGAAGAACUCCGAUUGCGAAGGCAGCCUGCUAAGCUGCAACUGACAUUGAGGCUCGAAAGUGUGGGUAUCAAACAGGAUUAGAUACCCUGGUAGUCCACACGGUAAACGAUGAAUACUCGCUGUUUGCGAUAUACUGCAAGCGGCCAAGCGAAAGCGUUAAGUAUUCCACCUGGGGAGUACGCCGGCAACGGUGAAACUCAAAGGAAUUGACGGGGGCCCGCACAAGCGGAGGAACAUGUGGUUUAAUUCGAUGAUACGCGAGGAACCUUACCCGGGCUUAAAUUGCAGAUGAAUUACGGUGAAAGCCGUAAGCCGCAAGGCAUCUGUGAAGGUGCUGCAUGGUUGUCGUCAGCUCGUGCCGUGAGGUGUCGGCUUAAGUGCCAUAACGAGCGCAACCCUUGUUGUCAGUUACUAACAGGUUCCGCUGAGGACUCUGACAAGACUGCCAUCGUAAGAUGUGAGGAAGGUGGGGAUGUCGUCAAAUCAGCACGGCCCUUACGUCCGGGGCUACACACGUGUUACAAUGGGGGGUACAGAGGGCCGCUACCACGCGAGUGGAUGCCAAUCCCAAAAACCUCUCUCAGUUCGGACUGGAGUCUGCAACCCGACUCCACGAAGCUGGAUUCGCUAGUAAUCGCGCAUCAGCCACGGCGCGGUGAAUACGUUCCCGGGCCUUGUACACACCGCCCGUCAAGCCAUGGGAGCCGGGGGUACCUGAAGUGCGUAACCGCGAGGAGCGCCCUAGGGUAAAACUGGUGACUGGGGCU